rnacentral:rRNA from 1 species
ACAGCCCCGUACACAAAAAUGCACAUAUUGUGAGCUCGAUGAGUAGGGCGGGACACGUGGUAUCCUGUCUGAAUAUGGGGGGACCAUCCUCCAAGGCUAAAUACUCCUGACUGACCGAUAGUGAACCAGUACCGUGAGGGAAAGGCGAAAAGAACCCCGGCGAGGGGAGUGAAAAAGAACCUGAAACCGUGUACGUACAAGCAGUGGGAGCACGCUUAGGCGUGUGACUGCGUACCUUUUGUAUAAUGGGUCAGCGACUUAUAUUCUGUAGCAAGGUUAACCGAAUAGGGGAGCCGAAGGGAAACCGAGUCUUAACUGGGCGUUAAGUUGCAGGGUAUAGACCCGAAACCCGGUGAUCUAGCCAUGGGCAGGUUGAAGGUUGGGUAACACUAACUGGAGGACCGAACCGACUAAUGUUGAAAAAUUAGCGGAUGACUUGUGGCUGGGGGUGAAAGGCCAAUCAAACCGGGAGAUAGCUGGUUCUCCCCGAAAGCUAUUUAGGUAGCGCCUCGUGAAUUCAUCUCCGGGGGUAGAGCACUGUUUCGGCA